UACGAAGGGUGCAAGCGUUAAUCGGAAUUACUGGGCGUAAAGGGUGCGUAGGCGGUUCGUUAAGUCUGUCGUGAAAUCCCCGGGCUCAACCUGGGAAUGGCGAUGGAUACUGGCGAGCUAGAGUGUGUCAGAGGAUGGUGGAAUUCCCGGUGUAGCGGUGAAAUGCGUAGAGAUCGGGAGGAACAUCAGUGGCGAAGGCGGCCAUCUGGGACAACACUGACGCUGAAGCACGAAAGCGUGGGGAGCAAAC
rnacentral:rRNA from 1 species